GGAUUAGAUACCCUGGUAGUCCUGGCCGUAAACGGUGAGCACUAGGUGUAGAGGGAAUCGACCCCUUCUGUGCCGUAGCAAACGCAUUAAGUGCUCCGCCUGGGAAGUACGAUCGCAAGAUUGAAACUCAAAGGAAUUGACGGGGGCCCGCACAAGCGGUGGAGCAUGUGGUUUAAUUCGAUGCAACGCGAAGAACCUUACCUGGGCUUAAACUUGUAGGAAAAGCCGGGGAAACCCGGUGUGCCUUCGGGCGUCUAUGAGAGGUGCUGCAUGGCUGUCGUCAGCUCGUGUUG
rnacentral:rRNA from 1 species